UGGUGCGUUCCUUUCUUUGCCCUGCUACUAAUGCAUCUGCUCUCAACCCUACAGCGAGAGUGAAAAGUGGAGCAGUGGGAGACAAACACCUUGUCACUUGGUAUUGGGCUUUACUGCUUCAUUUUUGGGUUAAGUUUAUGAGCAUGGCCGGUAAAGGUGGACAAUCUUUCUUGGCUUCUGCAAGACAACAAGGCGCCCCUUCAGUUGAACAGAUUCUAAACUCGAUGAUGUGUUGGAGCUAAAAAUGAAAUUUACUAUGGAUGAACCGUGAACGUGAAAAAUCCAGUGUUCAAAACUGAACAGAUUUGACCACGGGUGUUGCGGAAAGAGGUGUGGGAUAGCAAUUGCAAAGGGGGAUGGCUUAUGGUAGAGUGGAAAGCAGGGUGGAGGGUGAUACACCUGUGCAAUUUCAGUCUGACUUAGUGGAGCAACAGAUGCAGGAUUAUGUAUAGGAUGAUGAA